UACGUAGGGGGCAGGCGUUGUCCGGAAUCAUUGGGCGUAAAGGGCUCGUAGGCGGUUUGUCGCGUCGGGAGUGAAAACCUCGGGCUUAACUCGGGGCUUGCUUUCGAUACGGGCAGACUAGAGGUAUGCAGGGGAGAACGGAAUUCCUGGUGUAGCGGUGAAAUGCGCAGAUAUCAGGAGGAACACCGGUGGCGAAGGCGGUUCUCUGGGCAUGAUCUGACGCUGAGGAGCGAAAGUGUGGGGAGCGAACAGG
rnacentral:rRNA from 1 species